GGCUUUGGCUGGUGGGGAGUGCUGGAAGUCCCUGUACACCUGUAGCUGUCCUCGUGCAAGAUCUGUUUCAUGGUCCUGGUGUGCUACUUCUUGCCUUGAAAAGAGCUUCUUCAUUUUCUGCAUUCCUCUCCUACAUGUGAAGUCUUCUGCUGCCAAUGAUUUACUGUGUCUCUCCCAUGUCACCCACAUCCCAAGGUACUGUAUCAUCAGCCACUGUCAUUCCGUGCUUUAUCAGCUCUGAAUGUAGCACAUUAUCACCUGAGUUUAGGAAGGGAAUUGCCUCAGUUGGGAUCUUUUCAAGGCACUAGGGCAGGUAUUUAUUUAGUGGGAGCUUAAUUACCCAUUGCUGUGAUAGAGUCAAAUGGCAGCAUUUAUCAGCAAUUAAGCAGUGACAGAUGAACCUCCCCUAAAUAUAAAAAGAACAACA